UACGUAGGUGGCAAGCGUUGUCCGGAUUUACUGGGCGUAAAGGGCGCGUAGGCGGGAUGGCAAGUCGGUCGUGAAAUCCCUCGGCUCAACUGAGGAUCGUCGAUCGAUACUGCCGUUCUUGAGGAUUGCAGAGGAGACUGGAAUUCCCGGUGUAGCGGUGAAAUGCGUAGAUAUCAGGAGGAACACCGGUGGCGAAGGCGGCUACCUGGACAGAAACUGACGCUGAGGCGCGAAAGCUAGGGGAGCAAACAGG
rnacentral:rRNA from 1 species